rnacentral:rRNA from 1 species
GCUUAACACAUGCAAGUCGAACGGUGACGGAGAGCUUGCUCUCCUGAUCAGUGGCGAACGGGUGAGUAACACGUGGGCAACCUGCCCCAGACUUCGGGAUAACGCUUCGAAAGAGGUGCUAAUACCGAAUACGAACCUCCCUGGCAUCUGGGAGGUUGGAAAGUUUUUCGGUCUGGGAUGGGCCCGCGGCCUAUCAGCUUGUUGGUGAGGUAACGGGCUUCACCAAGGCGACGACGGGUAGCCGGCCUGAGAGGGCGACCGGCCACACUGGGACUGAGACACGGCCCAGACUCCUACGGGAGGCAGCAGUGGGGAAUAUUGCGCAAUGGCGAAAGCCUGACGCAGCAACGCCGCGUGAGGGAUGACGGCCUUCGGGUUGUAAACCUCUUUCAGCAGGGAAGAAGCGAAAGUGACGGUACCUGCAGAAGAAGCACCGGCUAACUACGUG